GUCAGUGACUGGAAGAGGCCAGCACUCGGCGGCCACAUGCCUAUCGCUGCUGGGUGCUCCCUUCAUGCCUGCUGUCUGCAUGGAUAUCCACGGCACGCUCUGCUCUCCACAGGUCCUGGUGUGGACGACGUCCUCACGCCAACCAGUGUGACGGCCAAGUGGCAUGGAGCCACCAGGGGCCAGGAGAGCGAGCUCUGGGGUCUGAGUGGGCCCUGGAAGCAGGGCCUUGGGCUGCUCAGGGUCCCUCUCUGGCUCUGUGCCUGCCCUGCUCCCCCUGCCAGGCAAGCACUGUGGUACGCCCUCCCAGCUGCCCACAGACUGAGCCCAGGGAACCUCUGCUGCUCCACACUGAGCACCUGGGGACAGGAAAGCUGAGCGCUGUGGGAUGGGAAUGCAGCCCUCUGGGUGGCUGCACUGAGGGCACCCAGACCAGGAAACCCAGCCUCACCAUUACCUCGGUUAUUUUGCUCUCUCUGGAAACACUCAUUACAGCUGUGGGGAACCUGCUGGCUCCGUCACCAGCGCUGCGUGAAGGACUCUUGGUCCAGGUGCGGAUGCAGCCGAGCAAAGCACAGUGGGCCGACACCCGCCCCCCUCCAGACAGGGGACCCGGCUCCAGGAGUUGGCUCGUCCUGCAGAGCAGUGCCUGCGGACAGGAAAUCCCCUGCAGCCACAAGGAAGGGGUUAAAGAGGCUACAGCAGGGAGAGGGAAACCUUGCAAAGACAGCACAGAGCCCCAUCCUCCUAUAACCCAGAGAGGGCUGCAGGGCUUGCAGCCUGGCCCACAUUCUGGAUGAACCCCAGCCCUGCUUGGCUUCCUUGGAGAGGAGCCUGAGACAAGAUCACUUCCGGGAGGAAGGACACCUGGCCUGCCUUGGCCUCCUUCCAUGUGGAGGGAGUGUCUGAAAGGCCAGGUCCUAGAGCAAGGACCCCAGCCGUCCAGUGGCCUCCUCUCCUACGGAAGGAGCGCGACACGCGUGGACCUCCAUCACUGCAUCACAAAGCCAAAGUGAUGCCAUUCAGUGGGAAUACUUUAUAGUCUACUUCCUGCUAAUGGCAAACUGAAACAAUCUCUCUCACCUGUGUCAUUUUUGUGUUCCUG
rnacentral:lncRNA from 1 species